rnacentral:rRNA from 1 species
GACGAACGCUGGCGGCGUGCUUAACACAUGCAAGUCGAACGGAAAGGCCCUGCUUUUGUGGGGUGCUCGAGUGGCGAACGGGUGAGUAACACGUGAGUAACCUGCCCUUGACUUUGGGAUAACUUCAGGAAACUGGGGCUAAUACCGGAUAGGAGCUCCUGCUGCAUGGUGGGGGUUGGAAAGUUUCGGCGGUUGGGGAUGGACUCGCGGCUUAUCAGCUUGUUGGUGGGGUAGUGGCUUACCAAGGCUUUGACGGGUAGCCGGCCUGAGAGGGUGACCGGCGUCAAUGGGACUGAGAUACGGACCAGACGGCUACGGGAGGCAGCAGUGGGAAAUAUGACACAAUGGGCGGAAGCCUGAUGCAGCAACGCCGCGUGCGGGAUGACGGCCUUCGGGUUGUAAACCGCUUUCGCCUGUGACGAAGCGUGAGUGACGGUAAUGGGUAAAGAAGCACCGGCUAACUACGUG